AGGCCGUGAUGGGGACACUUGCGUAAUAGCUCCUUGAAUCUUUCCCAAGUUUCAUAUAAGGAUUCCCCGUCCUCUUGUGAAUAUGUAUUACUUUCAGUCAUUAACUU
rnacentral:snoRNA from 1 species